CAGCGCGGGUCAUUCUCCCUCCCUAAAUUACCGUUUUUUCGGACCAAAGUGAAGAUGCUGCCCGCUGGACCUGUGGACACAUUAACGGAGAUAUGUCGGUGUUACCGUGGAGACAGAAAUGGAGACGUUUCGGAAGGAGUUCCAGAAGAAGAUGAACACUAAACGUGUCUGAUAGAAGUUAACCAGACAACAGGAUGUCCUUCUUUAAUCCCCCCAUCAGGUAGAUCUACAAAAGUAGAUCUACUAAAAGUAAGUGCCAUUUUUAUUGUCUUUAAGUAUUUGUGUUCUUGGCCACCGUGCCACAACUAUCAUGGCCGCCGCGCCACAUGUAUCACUCUGUGUCUCUC